rnacentral:rRNA from 1 species
UACGGAGGGUGCAAGCGUUAAUCGGAAUUACUGGGCGUAAAGCGCGCGUAGGCGGUUUGUUAAGUCGGAUGUGAAAUCCCCGGGCUCAACCUGGGCAUUGCAUUCGAUACUGGCAGGCUAGAGUAUGGUAGAGGGAAGUGGAAUUCCAGGUGUAGCGGUGAAAUGCGUAGAUAUCUGGAGGAACAUCAGUGGCGAAGGCGACUUCCUGGACCAAUACUGACGCUGAGGUGCGAAAGCGUGGGGAGCAAACAGG